rnacentral:lncRNA from 1 species
UCCGGCUUCCAGAGAGGCUUUGAUGUCAUCAAUCGGAGGAAAGUGAGAUCGAAAACGCAGAGAGAGCUAAGAAGAAGGAAUUUGGAUCAGAACAGAAAAGGUAAAAGGAAGAAAAUACGAUUAACAGAUGGGAAAGGAAGCCAGAAAAGAGGAGUUAUCCGCUUCUUCCAUGAGAGAGAAAGAGAGAGAUGGGAGAAAGAAAAGGAUGAGAAGGAGAGAGAAGAAACAAUAAUACCAUGGGGAUAAGUUUUUUAUCCUUAAAAAGCCUUUUAGGGGGGCGUAUUCUACUAUUAUUGAAACAAAAAAAGGUUUGUAUUUGUAUAUUAGCUAGUGUAUAAGAAUACGGUAUUUUGUAUGAGAAUACGGAGAAGGUGGGGUCGUUCGGUGGGGAAUUAUUACUUUAGGAGUUUAUUUAAUUAAACAAAUGAGAAGAUAAGAUUAGAGGAGAGGAGGGAGAGAAGGGUCCGCCGCCGGCGCAAUAGGUUUGACACGUUCGUCGUGACGUGGCAAUUUCCAUUGACC